rnacentral:lncRNA from 1 species
AUUUAUGUUAAUAAAUCCUAUUAAUGAGAAUUCAAUGAUGUUUGUUAUCCGUAAGCACAGACAUUUCUCUUAGAUUUAUCUUAUAUUUUAUACACAAACAAAUAUGGUAACAUUGUCCAAUUUUUAAAUAAACUUCAAAUGACUACAUUAUAUUUAUUUUCUAUGCCUUCAAAUAUAAUCUAUAUUAUAGAAAAAUUAAUCUAGCAACCUCAUCUUAUAAACAGUCUAAAAAAUAAUAGAUAGUUUGCAUAAAAACAAAAAUAAACUAACGGUAGAUUGUGAUGUGAACUCACCGAUAAUUGUGGAGAUCGAGUGGACCACCAUCAAAACUAAUAAAAUAAACAAUUUAUU